GACGAACGCUGGCGGCGUGCUUAACACAUGCAAGUCGAACGGAAAGACCCUGCUUUUGUGGGGUGCUCGAGUGCCGAACGGGUGAGUAACACGUGAGUAACCUGCCCUUGACUUUGGGAUAAAUCCAGGAAACUGCGGCUCAUACCGGGUAGGAGCUCCUGCUGCACGGUGGGGGUUGGAAAGUUUCGGCGGUUGGGGAUGGACUCGCGGCUUAUCAGCUUGUUGGUGGGGUAGUUGCUUACCAAGGCUUUGACGGGUAGCCGGCCUGAGAGGGUGACCGGCCACAAUGGGACUGAGAGACGGAGCAGACGGCUACGGGAGGCAGUAGUGGGGAAUAUUGCACAGCGGGCGGAAGCCUGAUGCAGCGACGCCGCGUGCGUGAUGACGGCCUACGGGUUGUAAACCGCUGUCGACUGUGACGAAGCGGGAGUGACGGUAAUGGGUAAAGAAGCACCGGCUAACUACGUG
rnacentral:rRNA from 1 species